rnacentral:rRNA from 1 species
AUUGAACGCUGGCGGCAUGCUUUACACAUGCAAGUCGAACGGUAACAGGGAAAAGCUUGCUUUUCUGCUGACGAGUGGCGAACGGGUGAGUAACACAUCGGAACGUGCCCUGUAGUGGGGGAUAACUACUCGAAAGAGUGGCUAAUACCGCAUACAACCUGAGGGUAAAAGUGGGGGACCGCAAGGCCUCACGCUAUAGGAGCGGCCGAUGGAAGAUUAGGGUAGUUGGUAGGGUAAAGGCCUACCAAGCCGACGAUCUUUAGCGGGUCUGAGAGGAAGACCCCCACACUGGGACUGAGACACGGCCCAGACUCCUACGGGAGGCAGCAGUGAGGAAUAUUGGACAAUGGAUGGAAAUCUGAUCCAGCCAUGCCGCGUGCACGGAAGACGGCCCUAUGGGUUGUAAACUGCUUUUUAUAUGGGAGCAAUAAGGUUUACGAGUUAGACCGAUGAGAGUACCAUAUGAAUAAGCAUCGGCUAACUCCGUGCCAGCAGCCGCGGUAAA